rnacentral:rRNA from 1 species
AACGAACGCUGGCGGCAGGCCUAAUACAUGCAAGUCGAACGCCCCGCAAGGGGAGUGGCGCACGGGUGAGUAACGCGUGGGAAUGUGCCCUUAGGUGCGGAACAACGUUUGGAAACGAACGCUAAUACCGCAUAAUAUCUCCGGUUCAAAGAUUUAUCGCCUAGGGAUCAGCCCGCGUUGGAUUAGCUAGUUGGUGGGGUAACGGCCUACCAAGGCGACGAUCCAUAGCUGGUCUGAGAGGAUGAUCAGCCACACGGGGACUGAGACACGGCCCAGAAUCCGACGGGAGGCAGCAGUAAGGAAUAUUGGACGAUGGGGGCAACCCUGAUCCAGCCAUGCCGCGUGAGUGAUGAAGGCCUUCGGGUUGUAAAGCUCUUUUAGGUGUGACGAUGAUGACGGUAACACCAGAAAAAGCUCCGGCUAACUUCGUGCCAGCCGCCGCCGUAACAC